rnacentral:rRNA from 1 species
GAGUUUGAUCGUGGCUCAGAUUGAACGCUGGCGGCAUGCCUUACACAUGCAAGUCGAACGGCAGCAUGAUCUAGCUUGCUAGAUUGAUGGCGAGUGGCGAACGGGUGAGUAAUACAUCGGAACGUGCCCUGUAGUGGGGGAUAACUAGUCGAAAGAUUAGCUAAUACCGCAUACGACCUGAGGGUGAAAGUGGGGGACCGCAAGGCCUCAUGCUAUAGGAGCGGCCGAUGUCUGAUUAGCUAGUUGGUGGGGUAAAGGCCCGACCAAGGCGACGAUCAGUAGCUGGUCUGAGAGGACGAUCAGCCACACUGGGACUGAGACACGGCCCAGACUCCUACGGGAGGCAGCAGUGGGGAAUUUUGGACAAUGGGCGAAAGCCUGAUCCAGCAAUGCGCGUGUGUGAAGAAGG